rnacentral:lncRNA from 14 species
CUCCUCGGACCGCGCUUCACUUCGUCCUCCUACAAAUGAGCCCCACAACGGUACCUCAGUCCCGGCGCGGGAGCCCGGCAGGGCAGCCCCGACCCCCAGCAGCCCCUGGGCGGCUCCGAGGCCUGUCAAGACCCCCUGAGAGAGGCAGCGGGCGCACCUCCGCGAUACCUUGAGUCCAGGCCCAGCGCGGGCCGCCGCCGGGGGAGGCCGGAACGCUGCGAGAGCCGCUCGGGGCGCGGCGCUGCCUGGCCCAGCCACUCCUCCCUCCCCUCUCCGCCCCCCGGGCGCGGGCCCUAGCCGCAGCUCCCAACGGCCUUUACCGGUCACUUCUCCAUCCCCCGCCGGCAGCCGCGGCCCCCUGCACACCCGCCAACGGAUCACGUGAAGCACCAGGUCAGCUGACGCCGCCGCAGCGUGGAUCACGAGACGUCGGGGCGGGGGAGGGUGUGUGACGCAGUGACUGAGAGGCUCGCUCGGGGCCCUGUGUUCGCACGGGUUCGAGACCCGGCCGGGCUGGGCUGUCACCGUUCGCCUCUCGGCACGGCCCGGCCGGAGCUCCCGCGGGGCUCCACCGCCGUCAUGGACACCGCCAGCUUCUGCGGGACACCCACUCGAUCCUGUUGUGAGCGCCUCGGGCCGGCGGGCAGCAACUGCCUCAGCGCCUGGUCAGCACUGGCCGCCUCAGGGCCCGGCGGGCUCCUGCGACUCCCUGAUACAUCUCAUGUUGAUAGGGAAUUUGUGGUGCAUACGGAUCAGAGGGGCCUCGUUCACCGCGAGGAAGCAGAUGUUGUUAAGGAGCUUUAUACGAUUUUGCCCUCAGGGCAGAGAAGAACGGCAGGAGUUGGAGCCAUCCUACAGCCAUGGGUGACUACUGGGGAACUGCAGCACAGAGGAGGCAGAAUGCGUUCACAGAUACCACAGAGGUGAUUUCACAUAGCUCCAGCCCAGCACAUGAUGUGGCUUCAUGUCUCCGGAAGCAGCUCUAGGCCUCUGCUCCAGUGCUCUUCUCCCCCUUAAGUACUUACAGCUCCAGCAGCUUCAAACUAUGUCGUCUAGUUCAAAGUGUGAAUGUUGUCAACCAGCCCAUAGUGUGGCAGGUCAGUCUUCCUUUAGCCAUUUAUGUUCUUCAACCACCAGAGGCUUCUGAGAAUGUUUGUUUGGCUGAACUGCCCACAUCAACUUAUAAUACUCUUGAGGUGCUUCUACUUUUACCAUUUUGUUAGAUGCUUCUCAUAUCAGUACAAAAACACAUCCUCCAAAAUAACUUAGUAAAACAGAAGCUUGGCUGCCUUAAAGGUGGGCAGACUUAUUUUUAAAUACCCACAUGACAAAUUCCAGCAAGAACAAUUUCUCAGUGGCUGAAUUAUUAACAGUUUUCAGUGCAAAUUCUUAUAAAAUUGCACCAUAGGUAUAUAUUGUCAUUAUUAUUGCAAGCCAUUUCCUCAAAAUGUGGCAAUAUAUGCCAGCACUAAAUAGCAAAUGCAACUCAUUAUCGGUGUUAUUUUUGAAACAGGAUUUUUUUUUGAGUGAUCCAUAGCUCCAAGCUAUCAGAUGGAAACUUGGCAUUAACCUCUAUAAAGUAGUUAGUAAAUGAUACUAUAAAAUCAGUAUUUAGCAGAAGAAUAGCCAGCAUUUCUAACCUGCACAGUGACAGCAUGCUUAUAAAACCAUAGGAGGGGAUUUUGAGAACAAGGACUUAUGAUCUGCCACUUAUGUCUACUGCCUAAUGUUUAUAACCAUGUUUGCGAUUUGGCUAAGAUCAGUGAGGUACAAAGCAGGCCUGCAGGCAAUCUAAUACUCUUCACUGGAAAACUAAAAAGGCAAAAAGGAUUAACACAAAUUAAAUAGGAUAUUGGCACCCUCAGAAUAAAUGCACAGUAGCAGCGAGCUGGAGUGUGAUC